GGGGCUGUAGCUCAGUGGUAGAGCACCAGCCUCACACGUGUGAGGCCCUGGGUUCGAUUCUCAGCACCA
rnacentral:tRNA from 1 species